rnacentral:rRNA from 1 species
UACGUAGGGAGCUAGCGUUGUUCGGAAUCACUGGGCGUAAAGCGCGCGUAGGCGGUUGUGUCAGUCCGGGGUGAAAUCCCGGAGCUCAACUUCGGAACUGCCCUUGAUACAGCACGUCUUGAGUCCGGAAGAGGUGGGUGGAAUUCCUAGUGUAGAGGUGAAAUUCGUAGAUAUUAGGAAGAACACCGGUGGCGAAGGCGGCCCACUGGUCCGGUACUGACGCUGAGGUGCGAAAGCGUGGGGAGCAAACAGG